rnacentral:pre_miRNA from 1 species
AUCCUACUCCCUCCAUUCAAAAUUACUUGUCGCAAAAAUGGAUGUAUCUAAACGUAUUUUAGUUUUAGAUACAUCUAUUUUCGAGACAAGUAAUUCCAAACGAAGGGAGUAGUUA